UACAGAGGUCUCAAGCGUUGUUCGGAUUCAUUGGGCGUAAAGGGUGCGUAGGUGGCCUGUUAAGUCAGGGGUGAAAGACGGUAGCUCAACUAUCGCAGUGCCCUUGAUACUGAUGGGCUUGAAUGGACUAGAGGUAGGCGGAAUGUGACAAGUAGCGGUGAAAUGCAUAGAUAUGUCACAGAACACCAAUUGCGAAGGCAGCUUACUAUGGUUUUAUUGACACUGAGGCACGAAAGCGUGGGGAUCAAACAGG
rnacentral:rRNA from 1 species